rnacentral:rRNA from 1 species
AGGAAGCAGCUUGCUGCUUCGCUGACGAGUGGCGGACGGGUGAGUAAUGUCUGGGAAACUGCCUGAUGGAGGGGGAUAACUACUGGAAACGGUGGCUAAUACCGCAUAACGUCGCAAGACCAAAGAGGGGGACCUUCGGGCCUCUUGCCAUCAGAUGUGCCCAGAUGGGAUUAGCUUGUUGGUGAGGUAACGGCUCACCAAGGCGACGAUCCCUAGCUGGUCUGAGAGGAUGACCAGCCACACUGGAACUGAGACACGGUCCAGACUCCUACGGGAGGCAGCAGUGGGGAAUAUUGCACAAUGGGCGCAAGCCUGAUGCAGCCAUGCCGCGUGUAUGAAGAAGGCCUUCGGGUUGUAAAGUACUUUCAGCGGGGAGGAAGGUGUUGUGGUUAAUAACCGCAGCAAUUGACGUUACCCGCAGAAGAAGCACCGGCUAACUCCGUGCCAGCAGCCGCGGUAAUACGGAGGGUGCAAGCGUUAAUCGGAAUUACUGGGCGUAAAGCGCACGCAGGCGGUCUGUCAAGUCGGAUGUGAAAUCCCCGGGCUCAACCUGGGAACUGCAUUCGAAACUGGCAGGCUUGAGUCUUGUAGAGGGGGGUAGAAUUCCAGGUGUAGCGGUGAAAUGCGUAGAGAUCUGGAGGAAUACCGGUGGCGAAGGCGGCCCCCUGGACAAAGACUGACGCUCAGGUGCGAAAGCGUGGGGAGCAAACAGGAUUAGAUACCCUGGUAGUCCACGCCGUAAACGAUGUCUACUUGGAGGUUGUGCCCUUGAGGCGUGGCUUCCGGAGCUAACGCGUUAAGUAGACCGCCUGGGGAGUACGGCCGCAAGGUUAAAACUCAAAUGAAUUGACGGGGGCCCGCACAAGCGGUGGAGCAUGUGGUUUAAUUCGAUGCAACGCGAAGAACCUUACCUGGUCUUGACAUCCACGGAAGUUUUCAGAGAUGAGAAUGUGCCUUCGGGAACCGUGAGACAGGUGCUGCAUGGCUGUCGUCAGCUCGUGUUGUGAAAUGUUGGGUUAAGUCCCGCAACGAGCGCAACCCUUAUCCUUUGUUGCCAGCGGUUAGGCCGGGAACUCAAAGGAGACUGCCAGUGAUAAACUGGAGGAAGGUGGGGAUGACGUCAAGUCAUCAUGGCCCUUACGACCAGGGCUACACACGUGCUACAAUGGCGCAUACAAAGAGAAGCGACCUCGCGAGAGCAAGCGGACCUCAUAAAGUGCGUCGUAGUCCGGAUUGGAGUCUGCAACUCGACUCCAUGAAGUCGGAAUCGCUAGUAAUCGUGGAUCAGAAUGCCACGGUGAAUACGUUCCCGGGCCUUGUACACACCGCCCGUCACACCAUGGGAGUGGGUUGCAAAAGAAGUAGGUAGCUUAACCUUCGGGAGGGCGCUUACCACUUUGUGAUUCAUGACUGGGGUGAAGUCGUAACAAGGUAACCGUAGGGGAACCUGC